AUUGAACGCUGGCGGCAUGCUUUACACAUGCAAGUCGAGCGGCAGCGCGGGGGGCAACCCUGGCGGCGAGCGGCGAACGGGUGAGGAAUACAUCGGAACGUACCCCGGAGUGGGGGAUAACGCCGCGAAAGCGGCGCUAAUACCGCAUAUGCUCUGAGGAGGAAAGUGGGGGACCGCAAGGCCUCACGCUCUGGGAGCGGCCGAUGUCCGAUUAGCUAGUUGGUGGGGUAAAGGCCCACCAAGGCGACGAUCGGUAGCUGGUCUGAGAGGAUGAUCAGCCACACUGGGACUGAGACACGGCCCAGACUCCUACGGGAGGCAGCAGUGGGGAAUUUUGGACAAUGGGGGGCAACCCUGAUCCAGCCAUGCCGCGUGCGGGAAGAAGGCCUUCGGUUGUAACCGCUUUAGUCGGUAGAAAGGACGAGAUCCUAAUAAGGUACUGUUCUUGUACGGUACCGGCGGAAGUAAGACACCGGCUAACUACGUG
rnacentral:rRNA from 1 species